rnacentral:rRNA from 1 species
UACGAACGGGACUAGCGUUGCUCGGAAUCACUGGGCGUAAAGCGCACAUAGGCUGAUUGGUCAGUUGGGGGCGAAAUCCCGGGGCUCAGCCUCGAAACUGCCUUCAAUACUGCCAGUCUUGAGUCCGAGAGAGGUGAGUGGAAUUCCUAGUGUAGAGGUGAAAUUCGUAGAUAUUAGGAAGAACACCAGUGGCGAAGGCGGCUCACUGGCUCGGUACUGUCGCUGAGGUGCGAAAGCGUGGGGAGCAAUCAGG